UACAGAGGGGGCAAGCGUUAUUCGGAAUUACUGGGCGUAAAGGGCGCGUAGGCGGCCCACUAAGUCAGACGUGAAAUCCCCCGGCUUAACCUGGGAACUGCGUCUGAUACUGGAGGGCUUGAGUAUGGGAGAGGGAUGUAGAAUUCCAGGUGUAGCGGUGAAAUGCGUAGAUAUCUGGAGGAAUACCGGUGGCGAAGGCGGCAUCCUGGACCAUUACUGACGCUGAGGCGCGAAAGCUAGGGGAGCAAACGGG
rnacentral:rRNA from 1 species